AACACGUGGGCUACCUGCCCUACAGAUGGGGAUAACUCCGGGAAACCGGGGCUAAUACCGAACAAUCAGUUUGUCCGCAUGGACCAACUCUGAAAGACGGUUUCGGCUGUCACUGUAAGAUGGGCCCGCGGCGCAUUAGCUAGUUGGUGGGGUAAUGGCCUACCCAGGCAACGAUGCUUAGCCGACCUGAGAGGGUGAUCGGACACACUGGGACUGAGACACCCCCCAGACUCCUACGGGAGGGAACAUUACGGAAUCUUCCAAAAUGGACGAAAGUCUGAUGGAACAAUGCCGCGUGAGCGAAGAAUGUUUUCGGAUCCUCAAACUCUGUUGUAAGGGAAGAACACGUACGGGAGUAACUGCCCGUGCCAUGACGGUACCUUAUUAAAAAGCCACGGUAAAUAUGUGGCAGCAGCCGCGGUAAUACGUAAGUGGCAAGCGUUGUCCCGAAUUAUUGGGCGUACAGCGCGCGCAGGAGGUUCUUUCAGUCUGAUGUGAAAGCCCACGGCUCACCCGUGGAGGGUCAUUGGAAACUGG
rnacentral:rRNA from 1 species